CAGCGGCGCACGUCACCGCGCAAGUCCUGGCAGCUGCGCGCUUCACUCUACUGCCUGCGGACCGGCCCAAGUCGUAUCCUGAAAUCUUACUGGGCUGUCCCUUCCUACUUCAGUAACUCCUGCGAAAGAGGGAAACAAAGUUUUAUUUUUACUUGAAGGUUCCAUUUUUAAAAGGUUGUUUUUGUAAGCUGCUAGGAUCUGAGCUGCGCGUACCCCCGCGGUAGCUCGCCCGCGUGGGCUGGGGACGGGGCGGGAAAUGGCCUGCGUGGGCCUCCUCCGCUGCUCUCAUCCUGCACGGACCCGCCCUGCAUGGGCACGCCCUGCGUGCACGGGCCUGCCCGCGUGGACGUGCCCUGCGUGCACCCUUCCUUCAGGGACCCGCCCUUGAACGGCCCUCCGGACGUGGACACUCGUAUACGCCCACCCUGCGUGGGAUCUCCCUGCGUGGACCCAUCCCGCUGAGCCUCUUCUCGCGCAGCCUCCCUCUGGCCCCCUGGGAAGCUACCCUGGUUGUCCGCUGUCUCCUGGCUGGGGGGAGCUCUCAUUGAUUCUGUGAUGAUGCAUGACAGAAGAGCAUUUGUUAGCUUUGCUUUGCUUUUCUUUCUUUUUUGAGACAGCCUCGCUCUGUUGCCAGGCAGGCUUGAGUGCAGUGGCGCGAUCUCGGCUCACUGCAACCUCCGCGUCCCGGGUUCAAGCGAUUCUCCUGCCUCAGCCCCCCGAGUAGCCGGUAUUGCAGGCGCCUGCCACGACGCCCGGCUAAUUUUUGUAUUUUUAGUACAGACGGGGUUUCACCAUGUUGGCCAGGCUGGCCUCGAACUCCUGACCUCGUAAUCCACCCGCCUCUGCCUCCCAAAGUGCUGGGAUUACAGGCGUGAGCCACUACACCCGGCCGUUAGCUUUUCUUUAAAAAAUAAAUUUAAAGGAAAGAAAUAA
rnacentral:lncRNA from 10 species